GUUCCCCCUAGAAGCAGAUGGAACAUUCCAGGUUCGUUCAAUAAAAAUGCUCUCUUCUCCUUCCCGUCUUCUGCAGGAACCUCCAUGGUGUCUCACUCACUUGUUUCCCUGGAGGUCCCAUCAAACCCACGACUCCUGGAUCUCCAGAGUUUCCCUGAAGACAAAGAAGAAGAUUCAAAUUCUGACGAUAAAUCUGCAGGAAGACCUCGUACCUUCACACCGCCGUGUCCCUUCUGGCCGUACGCGCCGGGCACCCCCUGAAGGAGAAUCACAUCAAGCAUCAAACCGAAUGUGGAGCUGACGGCUGGAGCAGAGAAGCUUCGGGCUUUGACUUCCUGAUCCAAUCUCUUACGGAUGCUCCUGACGGUCCGGCCUCGCCCACGGCGCCUCUUUGACCCCGAUCCCCCUGAAAC